rnacentral:lncRNA from 1 species
CAGUUAACAACUGAACAAGGCCUUGUAGUUAACCGAACCCAGCCUGCUUAAAGUCACGUUUGUAAUAUUAUUUAUAGCACCACAUCCCCUGAAGCAGGAUUAUUGAUACCCGAUAAGAAUUAAAUGAAAUCAUGACAGCAAAAGAGAGAAAGACGUUUCCUCGGUGUGUAAGCUGAAGUUGGCUGGAGGAACAGAACUGUCUGACUUCCACACGUCUCUACUUCAGGGAGGCAAAUAGUUUUCAAGAGAAGGGAAAAGAAGAGCAGCUGCCGGGGUGUCCGUGGUGCGAAAGACGUCACAUUUCUAGGGCUGGGCGCU